rnacentral:rRNA from 1 species
AUUGAACGCUGGCGGCAGGCCUAACACAUGCAAGUCGAACGGUAGCACAGAGGAGCUUGCUCCUUGGGUGACGAGUGGCGGACGGGUGAGUAAUGUCUGGGAAACUGCCCGAUGGAGGGGGAUAACUACUGGAAACGGUAGCUAAUACCGCAUAACGUCUUCGGACCAAAGUGGGGGACCUUCGGGCCUCACACCAUCGGAUGUGCCCAGAUGGGAUUAGCUAGUAGGUGGGGUAAUGGCUCACCUAGGCGACGAUCCCUAGCUGGUCUGAGAGGAUGACCAGCCACACUGGAACUGAGACACGGGCCCGACUCCUACGGGAGGCAGCAGUGGGGAAUAUUGCACAAUGGGCGCAAGCCUGAUGCAGCCAUGCCGCGUGUAUGAAGAAGGCCUUCGGGUUGUAAAGUACUUUCAGCGGGGAGGAAGGCGUUAAGGUUAAUAACCUUGGCGAUUGACGUUACCCGCAGAAGAAGCACCGGCUAACUCCGUGCCAGCCGCCGCAGUAA